GAUGAAGAACGCAGUGAAAUGCGAUACUUGGUGUGAAUUGCAGAAUCCCGUGAACCAUCGAGUCUUUGAACGCAAGUUGCGCCCGAAGCCAUCAGGUUGAGGGCACGUCUGCCUGGGCGUCACAUAUCGUUGCCCAAUGCCUAUUGCAGUGCAAUAGGAAUUUCUAGGGCGAAUGAUGGCUUCCCGUGAGCGUUGUUGCCUCGCGGUUGGUUGAAAAUCGAGUCCUUGGUAGGGUGUGCCAUGGUAGAUGGUGGUCGAGUUAGAACGAUACCGAUCAUGUGCAUGCUCCCCAAAAUAUGGCCUCUAUGACCCACACGCGUCUUUUGACGCUCAUGACGAGACCUCAGGUCAGGCGGGGCUACCCGCUGAAUUUAAGCAUAUCAAUAAGCGGAGG
rnacentral:misc_RNA from 1 species